UUGAUCUCUUCGGAGUGAUUGUUUUGUGACUGAGUGGCGGACGGGUGAGUAACGCGUGGGUAACCUGCCCUGUACAGGGGGACAACAGUUAGAAAUGACUGCUAAUACCGCAUAAGCGCACAGUACCGCAUGGUACAGUGUGAAAAACUCCGGUGGUACAGGAUGGGCCCGCGUCUGAUUAGUUAGUUGGCGGGGUAACGGCCCACCAAGACGACGAUCAGUAGCCGGCUUGAGAGAGUGAACGGCCACAUUGGGACUGAGACACGGCCCAAACUCC
rnacentral:rRNA from 1 species